rnacentral:sRNA from 1 species
UGAUAAACCCGAUAGCAGUGGAUGCCGAUUCUUCAUCGGCUGGAACGAAUAGCGGGACUGCAG